UUCCGGUUGAUCCUGCCGGAGGUUACUGCUAUCGGGGUCCGACUAAGCCAUGCGAGUUGGAGGGGUACCUCGGCGUACUGCUCAGUAACACGCGGAUAACCUGCCCUUGGGUCCGGGAUAACCCCGGGAAACUGGGACUAAUACCGGAUAGAUCAGAGAUACUGGAAUGUUCUCUGGUCCAAAACUCGGUGCCCAAGGAUGGGUCUGCGGCCUAUCAGGUAGUAGUGGGUGUAACGUACCUACUAGCCAGCGACGGGUAAGGGUUGUGAGAGCAAGAUCCCUGAGAUGGAUUCUGAGACAUGAAUCCAGGCCCUACGGGGUGCAGCAGGCGCGAAAACUUUACACUGCGGGAAACCGCGAUAAGGGGACCCCGAGUGCCAGCACCUAGUGCUGGCUGUCCAGUUGUCCAAAAACAACUGUUAGCAAGGGCCGGGCAAGACCGGUGCCAGCCGCCGCGGUAACACCGGCGGCCCGAGUGGUAGCCGUUAUUAUUGGGUUUAAAGGGUCCGUAGCCGGCUUAUUAAGUCUUUUGGGAAAUCUGGCGGCUCAAUCGUCAGGCGUCCAAAGAUACUGGUAGGCUUGGGACCGGGAGAGGUGGGAGGUACUCCAGGGGUAGGGGUGAAAUCUCGUAAUCCUUGGGGGACCACCGAUGGCGAAGGCAUCCCACCAGAACGGGUCCGACGGUGAGGGACGAAAGCUGGGGGCACGAACCGGAUUAGAUACCCGGGUAGUCCCAGCUGUAAACGAUGCUCGCUAGGUGUCAGGUGCGGUGCGACCGCAUCUGGUGCCGCAGUGAAAACUUGAAGCGAGUCACCUGGGAAGUACGGUCGCAAGGCUGAAACUUAAAGGAAUUGGCGGGGGAGCACUACAACGGGUGGAGCCUGCGGUUCAAUUGGAUUCAACGCCGGA
rnacentral:rRNA from 1 species